UUGACCUCAAAUCAGGUAGGAUUACCCCGCUGACUUAAGCAUAUCAAUAAGCGGAGGAA
rnacentral:rRNA from 1 species